CCAGGUGAGAGCAGCUCAUUUUGCACCAGUAGCUGUCUGAAGAAGCAGACCCUGGUCACUAUCUGGAGUCAACGCACGCCAGCAAGCGCAACUCCCCUGAUUUUGGCAUUUCUGUACAGGCCUUGUCAGUUAAAAAUGUUCUGUAAUGUGAGCGUGGAUUUGAAUUUCACACUGCAGCAAACCAGCACGACCGCACCCCGGGCUCUGACCGCCUGCUACGCCCGCAGCAAGAGCCCGUGGUGCUCCGCGGGCAGGAGCCCCCUCCUCACACUGCUGACAAACUGGGGCAUGGGGGGCGCAGCGUCGGCACAGGCAGCCACAGGCAGCACGGCUACCGGAACAACUGAAAGCUUCCAAGUUCGGCUACAUCGAGUCAUUCACAGUCAAGCUGAACAGAACAAGUACAGAUGAAUUAGCUAGUAAAAAAAAAAAAAAAAAAAAAAAAGACUUUGGUGGGAGAUCGCAUUCCCAGUUUUUAUAAGCAUCACUGCUUAUAAUCACAGUCCUGAACUCAGCACUGUCCUCGUCCCACUGAUAUAUAUUCAAAAAAAUUUCAGCACAGCCAUGUUCUAAGCUGCUUCUAGAAAGGGUCUGGCUAUAUGCUAGCCAAAUUUUCAGCAAAACCGAAGUUAGCUCUGUAAUAACUCAGCCUGAAUUAGCUGCUACUGAAGUCGUACAAACUCUCAAGUGAGCUGGGCUACGUUUGCCUGUUCCAGAUGGGAAAACCUGCAUCUCCCCUGCAUU